rnacentral:lncRNA from 1 species
UUUGAUGCUGUCUUUCAGAAUCACUAUCGGUGUUCCCUGAGGAGCGUCAGCCUUGCUAAUUGGGUCAGGCAAGUCCAUCCCGUCCUGAGAGCCCCAGGUCCCACUUUGACCUCUGAAGUGAUGAACAGAUCCUCCUCUUCUCAGAGACCUCCUCUCCAAGCCUGCCUGGCUCUUAGAUGAUGGUGAUGUUUAUCUCCCUG